rnacentral:rRNA from 1 species
AUUGAACGCUGGCGGCAUGCCUUACACAUGCAAGUCGAACGGCAGCACGGGUGCUUGCCCCUGGUGGCGAGUGGCGAACGGGUGAGUAAUACAUCGGAACAUGUCCUGUAGUGGGGGAUAGCCCGGCGAAAGCCGGAUUAAUACCGCAUACGAUCUACGGAGGAAAGCGGGGGACCUUCGGGCCUCGCGCUAUAGGGUUGGCCGAUGGCUGAUUAGCUAGUUGGUGGGGUAAAGGCCUACCAAGGCGACGAUCAGUAGCUGGUCUGAGAGGACGACCAGCCACACUGGAACUGAGACACGGCCCAGACUCCUACGGGAGGCAGCAGUGGGGAAUUUUGGACAAUGGGCGAAAGCCUGAUCCAGCAAUGCCGCGUGUGUGAAGAAGGCCUUCGGGUUGUAAAGCACUUUUGUCCGGAAAGAAAUCCUUGGCCCUAAUACGGUCGGGGGAUGACGGUACCGGAAGAAUAAGCACCGGCUAACUACGUG